rnacentral:rRNA from 1 species
UUGAAAGGGAAACGAUUGAAGUCAGUCGUACCUGUGGGUAAUCAGCCUUUUGGGUGUGAUUUUGUGGAGUGUGAGGAGUUAAACGCCUUCAUGCCUGCAUAUUCGUGCACUUUGGGUGUAUUUACCCGUGUGGUAAGUUAACAUCAAUUUCGGUGGUCAUAAAAUGGCUGGAGGAAUGUAGCUUCGAUCUUGCAUUGAAGUGUUAUAGCCUUCGGUAGAUGUGAUGAUCGGGAUUGAGGAUUGCAACGGAUACCCCUCGGGGCUACCUGUCUGAUCUCUGAUCGUUGCUCUGGUGCCGAAAGCUUGCUUACGGUUAUCAAAGUCGAUGGUUAAUAGGUUAGAACGGGUUAAAUUCGUUAAGGAUGUUGACGUA